rnacentral:rRNA from 1 species
UUCGUCACACUAUCAUUAACUGAAUCCAUAGGUUAAUGAGGCGAACCGGGGGAACUGAAACAUCUAAGUACCCCGAGGAAAAGAAAUCAACCGAGAUUCCCCCAGUAGCGGCGAGCGAACGGGGAGGAGCCCAGAGCCUGAAUCAGUGUGUGUGUUAGUGGAAGCGUCUGGAAAGGCGCGCGAUACAGGGUGACAGCCCCGUACACAAAAAUGCACAUACUGUGAGCUCGAUGAGUAGGGCGGGACACGUGGUAUCCUGUCUGAAUAUGGGGGGACCAUCCUCCAAGGCUAAAUACUCCUGACUGACCGAUAGUGAACCAGUACCGUGA